rnacentral:snRNA from 1 species
CAGUGUUACAACUCUUUUAGAAUUUGUCUAGCAGGUUUUCUGGUCUUUACGGAAAAGCCCCA